GUAGGUGAACCUGCGGAAGGAUCAUUAUAGAAAAUGAAAAUCUCGAAGAGCUGGGGGGGGGAGAGCCUGCGCUUAAUUGCGCGGCUUGAUUUACCCUCCGCCUUUGAUACACACAGUGGAGUUUCUACUUUUUUGUUCUCUUUGGGGAAGUGCUUUUAAAGGCGUCUGUCCCCAGAGGUAAACACAAACAACAUUUUUAUGAAAUUAUAAAAAGUCAAAAACGAAUUAAAACAAAAUAUUCAAAACUUUCAACAACGGAUCUCUUGGUUCUC
rnacentral:misc_RNA from 1 species